GACGAACGCUGGCGGCGUGCUUAACACAUGCAAGUCGAACGGAAAGGCCUCUUUCGGGGGGUACUCGAGUGGCGAACGGGUGAGUAACACGUGAGUAACCUGCCCUUGACUUUGGGAUAACUUCAGGAAACUGGGGCUAAUACCGGAUAGGAGCUCCUGCUGCAUGGUGGGGGUUGGAAAGUUUCGGCGGUUGGGGAUGGACUCGCGGCUUAUCAGCUUGUUGGUGGGGUAGUGGCUUACCAAGACUUUGACGGGUAGCCGGCCUGAGAGGGUGACCGGCCACAUUGGGACUGAGAUACGGCCCAGACUCCUACGGGAGGCAGCAGUGGGGAAUAUUGCACAAUGGGUGGAAGCCUGAUGCAGCAACGCCGUGUGCGGGAUGACGGCCUUCGGGUUGUAAACCGCUUUCGCUCAUGACGAAGCUUUGUGUGACGGUAGUGGGUAAAGAAGCACCGGCUAACUACGUG
rnacentral:rRNA from 1 species